rnacentral:rRNA from 1 species
GAUGAACGCUGGCGGCGUGCCUAAUACAUGCAAGUCGAGCGAACGGACGAGAAGCUUGCUUCUCUGAUGUUAGCGGCGGACGGGUGAGUAACACGUGGAUAACCUACCUAUAAGACUGGGAUAACUUCGGGAAACCGGAGCUAAUACCGGAUAAUAUUUUGAACCGCAUGGUUCAAAAGUGAAAGACGGUCUUGCUGUCACUUAUAGAUGGAUCCGCGCUGCAUUAGCUAGUUGGUAAGGUAACGGCUUACCAAGGCAACGAUGCAUAGCCGACCUGAGAGGGUGAUCGGCGACACUGGAACUGGGACACGGUCCAGACUCCUACGGGAGGCAGCAGUAGGGAAUCUUACGCAAUGGGCGAAAGCCUGACGGAGCAACGCCGCGUGAGUGAUGAAGGUCUUCGGAUCGUAAAACUCUGUUAUUAGGGAAGAACAUAUGUGUAAGGAACUGUGCACAUCUUGACGGUACCUAAUAAGAAAGCCACGGCUAACUACGUG